UACAGAGGGUGCAAGCGUUAAUCGGAAUUACUGGGCGUAAAGCGAGCGUAGUCGGUUAUUUAAGUCUGGUGUGAAAGCCCCGGGCUCAACCUGGGAAUUGCAUUCGAUACUGGAUAGCUAGAGUUCGGCAGAGGGAAGCGGAAUUUCCGGUGUAGCGGUGAAAUGCGUAGAUAUCGGAAGGAACAUCAGUGGCGAAAGCGGCUUCCUGGACCAGAACUGACGAUCAGGCUCGAAAGCGUGGGGAGCAAACAGG
rnacentral:rRNA from 1 species